UUAAAACCCAAAGGACUUGGCGGUACUUCAGACCCACCUAGAGGAGCCUGUUCUAUAACCGAUAAUCCCCGUUCAACCUCACCUCUUCUUGUCCAAACCGCCUAUAUACCGCCGUCAUCAGCUUACCCUGUGAAGGACCAAUAGUAAGCUUAAUUGGCACAACCCAAAAUGCCAGGUCGAGGUGUAGCGUAUGGAGAGGGAAGAAAUGGGCUACAUUUAGUGCACCCCACUUACACACGGAAGAUAAGUUGAAACACUAUUCCGAAGGAGGAUUUAGCAGUAAGUCGGAAAUAGAGCGUCCCACUGAAGCAGGCUCUGAAGCGCGUACACACCGCCCGUCACUCUCCCCGAAAAAACCAUUAAAUACCUUAAUACCCCUUCAACCAACAAGGGGAGGCAAGUCGUAACAUGGUAAGUGUACCGGAAGGUGCACUUGGAAAAACU
rnacentral:rRNA from 1 species